CAGGCUCUUCACCCAAUAUGACUGGUGUCCUUAUAAGAAGAGAAGAGAAAGAGGUAGACACAGGUUGGGGUGGAAACUGAAUUCAUGCUGCCAAAAGCCAAGGAACACCAAAGAAUGCCAGAAAUCACUAGAAGGGAGAAAGCAUUUGGGUGUCAGAUGGUUUUUCAGUCGUCUGAGAUGGACAAGGAAGGAAAAACACCAAACAGAUCAUGGCCGCUAAUUAUCUACUAUAACUUCUGCAAAAAUAAAUAAAUAAAUAAAUAAAUAAAUAAAUAAAUAAAUAAAUAAAUAAAUAAUAACUUCUGCAAAGAC